UUGGAGGAAAUUACUAGUGGAAGUUUUUGGACAGAACCAUUUGAAAUGGAUAGUAAAAUUGAUUUUGUAGCUCCUUCAAUUGAUUAUUGUGGACUUGUCUGUCCACCUUCUCCUUUUAUACCUCAUGAAUUCUUUGACUUUGAUGAUUGUAAUAAUUAUUGGUAAAGAAAUAGAAUUCAAAAGAAGUACCUAAUGGUUCAUCCCAAUACAUUUGACUUUAUCGAUGAAUUACAUUAGAUAUAUUAUUUUUAUCGUUGAAGAUGAGUGUACUCAUGUGAAUCUAUACUUGUACUUUACAACAUUUUAUAUGAAAUCAAGAGUAAAUACUACAUAGCACUUUUGGUAUCUAGCUCAUUCUAUUGAUAAAUUUUUAUUUAAUUUUACAAUAUCUUGAAUUAUUACUUUUUUUGAAUUCGCUAGGUUGUGGGGGUGUCUAGGCUAGUUUGCUAUUAAUUAAAAAAAAGUGAACCUUAAGUAGAAGAGUACAAGCAAGAUGUUAGGCAUUAUCUUAUUAACCUUCCAUUAAUUUUCAACUUUUACUUUUGAUCCCUCUACAUGUAAAUUUCACAAAUUUACAAGAAUAAUUUAUUUUCAGGAUAAGCGUAAGAUUAUGUGUUCUUUUUUUUUUAAUGUUUUAUCUUACGUAUUUAAAAAUAAGUUAGAAAGUAUACACAUACUGAUAUUUUAAAUUAUUAUUAAAAAAAUUACACUAUUAUUAUAAUUUAACUAGAAAUAACAGGUUCCGUUAUAAGACUUGUUAUGAAAUUUACAUUUACCUAUUAUUAUAAUUUAUAUGUCAAAUUCAUUUUGUAAUGCAAGACUAUAGCCACUGCCCAUAAAUGAUCAAUAAAUUAUUUAUCGUGUAAAUAGAGAUGAUAAAAUUAGCUCACAAAAAUAAUGAAUUAUUUGAAAAUCUGUAUUAGUGUGAGAAAGUUACUAAUCCACUAAUUAUUAAUUUAUUUUAUUUUAAUUUCCCACAAUUCAUCUUAAAGUUAGUUUAAUAUAUAUGUUGUUUAAAUUUAUCAGUGAAAGAGCUUAAUAAUUCUAAAAAAAUUAUGAUAGACUCACAAGUGUAGAUUAAAAAAUAUUCAAGUUGUACUUAUGAAUCAGACUAUCAAAAUUGAAAAAGGAGACAAUGUUGUCUCCAUCUCUAUUCGUACACUCGUUAAAGUCAUAGUUUUUUUGUUUGCUAUAUAAUAAUAUUUUUUAUUAUAUAAUGAAAGAAUUUCUAGCAACACAAUAAAAAAAAAAACUAAAUUUUCAUAUAGGAAAUAAAAUUAUUUGAAUAUAAUCUCAAAUUCUAAAUUGAAAAUAAAGUGGAAUGAAAUUUUAGCAUCUUAUCACAUAUUAUAUAAAAAAAAACUUCGGUUGAUUUUUAAUAAGCAAAAAUAUUGAAAAAAGGAAUAUCUCUUUUUAUAUUUUGAAUUCAAAUUAAUAUAACUUUAUUUCUAUUACAUGUAAAAAUUUAUACGAGGAAAACUAUUAAACCAUAGAACAAACAAUAUUUACAAAGAGAGUAUUAGGGAUAAUAUGAAAAAUUGUACAAUGAAUUCGCUUAAAACUAAAGUACCAUAAUGGUUAAAUACAAAAAAUUGUUAUUAAUAAUUGUUACAGUAAAGAUUGUAGAACAUAUAAUAUUUUUUGUACCAAGAGCACUUCACAUAAAUCAUAUUAAUUUUUUAUCGUUAUCUUCUUUAAAUGUGUAAUUUUUUAGUAAAAUAACCGUGCAUUGCGCGGGCACGUAUACUAGUUGUCAUAAUAAAGACAAACUAAUUUUAUAAGUUACUUGAAAUUAUAAAAGAACAAAUUAAUAUAGAAUUAAAUAAAUUGAAUUAUGAUUCAUUUCAGCCCAUUUUAAUACAACUUAUUUUAACCAAAAUAAUUUUAAAAAAGUCAUUUACUCCCCUCAUCUAUUAAUUGAACUUAUUUUAAUCCGUUCAAAUUUAAAUUAAUCCGUCCAUUUUGACACUUCCGAACUAUUUUUAGCACCGGCCACGGAAUGUUCUAAGAAAACGUUACACGAUGGGAAAAUGUGAACAUUUUAUUGUUAUUCUCAUUUCUAUUUUCAUUCAACAUAGAAAAUGACAGUUUCCACUUUAUUGUGUUUGCCAUUGACUCAACAAUGUGAGGCAUAUUAUUACUACUCUACAAAUCUUAUCUGACAUUUAUGGCUAUUACCAAGUAUCUUCCUAGUCCAAUGAUAUUGGUAGAUUCCUUCUUAUAUUAUCAUUUACGAUAUAAAAUAAAUAAAUAUUUUAUUAUAUUUUAUUUUCGAAUGUUACAUACUUUUUCCUUUUCAAUUUAUACCAUUACGUUUGAUUGGACAUAUAGAAUUUAAUGGAUUCAACUUCUCUCCAUUUCUUGUCUCUCUAUUUUCCCCAAGUUCUAGUUUGGAUUGGAGACACAUGUCAUAGUUUAGAAUCAAUGGUUGAGAUCUAAUUAAUUAAAGCAAAGUCCUAAUCAUAGUUAUUUACUUUAAUAUAUUUGCUUCUUAAAUAUUUUGCAAUCUAUUAUAUUUUUCCUAAAUAUAUUAAAACUUUUCUUUACUGCAUACAUAUUUAAAACUUUUACUAAAUACUUUUACUUUUUUGAAAAAAAAUUAUAAUACAGUUAAGCAUUUUUAUUAUUCUAAUAGAGUAUUAAGAGCUACAGUGUCUAUAGAGCAAUAUGGACUCCAUUUAGGGAGUAAGAAAGAAUUUAAAGUUGAGUGACAAAAUUUAUUUUACUCCUAAAAUUAAAAAAAAAAAAACGUCAGGUCACAAUUUUUUAUUUUUUAUUUGGCAAAUAUUAUUUGAGAAAUGGCAAAUGUUAGGGAAAAAAGUAAAAAAUUAGCAAAAAAUACUCAAGUAAUUAAAAAAAGAAAUUCUUUUAAAUAUAUUUAGGAAAAAUUUAAUGUAAAUCUAGAAUUGUUGGAUUGCAAAAAUAUUUAAGAAGCAAAUAUAUUAAAGUAAAUAACUAUGAUUAGGACUUUGCUUUAAUUAAUUAGAUCUCAACCAUUGAUUCUAAAACUAUGACAUGUGUCUCCAAUCCAAGCUAGAACUAGGGAAAAAUGGAGAGGAACCGAAUCCGAAUUUAAUCAAGAAAUAUGGUAAGACUUUGUAAUAUAUUCAAAAUAUCCUUAAAAUAAAUAAUUUUUUAAUUAGAAAAGUAUAUUGUUAUGAUUUUUUUAUCAAAUAAGUGGGACUUAACAUAGAUUAGAUAUUGAUAAUAUCAGUAAGUAUAUCUCUUGUCUUGUCAACCAUUAGUAGGAAGGGUAUUUUUGAGCAAGAAAAAUGUAAUUGCGAGGGCAUUUUUGACCCAAAAUUGUAUCGAAAUAUAAAUUUGAUCUAUUUUGAAUAGUUUAGAAUGUUUUUUUACCAUUUUCCCAUAACAAAUAUAUUGUUCUUUUUUAAAUCGACUAAAUUUGUCGUAUAAAUUGAGAUAAAAAAAAAGUAUAUAAAUAAUGAUUUCUCAAAAUCUUUAGUUUAAAACUUAAAAAGUAUUUAGUAUGAGUUAGAAAAUCAAUUGAACUAUUUUGUUCCAAGUUCCAACAACAAAUUUGCAGUUACACUCCUAAAUUCAAGAUCAAAAUCGAACUCUAAAAUCCAGUGCAGUUGGUAUUUUGAAAAACCCAAUCAAUUUUUCGAUUCAAAAUCGUUGGUUGAAACAAUCUAGUAGUUACAGAAAAUUGAUCCAACCAAUCGAGCUCGAUUGAUUUUUCGAUAGUUUUUUUUCUAGUAUUGUUUUUUUAAAAACCCAACUCUAGAAAAUACAUUGAAAAAGUCAAUUAAAACUAAUUACAAUUCACGGGUAAUUCUAGCACCGCCUGUUCUCAAUCCGUUACCCAAAAAAACAUUAAACAACUAUAUUUGUGUAAAGUCGUCAAUAUGGAUCGGCCUAGUUCAUUCGGGUUAAAUUUAUGUGGUCUUUGAAAUUUGACGAAUCAAGUUGGACUAACCAAUAUUUUGGUGGUCUAAAAAAAAUCAAGUCCAAAUCACCAUCCACUAUAUGGAUUGCAAGUCGUGUUGGGCCAACUCACUCUUUUUUUUUUUAAAAGAAUAUAUUUUCUUAAAUUUAAAUUCUAAUUUUAUAAAGUUAACAUAAAUAUAUACAAGACAAUAGUAUAUACUAUAUAUUGUUAUUACACAAGUAUCUUGGGUGCAACCGUACAAUAAAAUGAUAUUUUUGGACCAUAAAAUUAUGUGAAACUAAAAAACUUUUAACAUGAAACCAUUCAGACCAAAUAAAGAUAUUAAUAAAUGAAGUAAACAUUUAUUUUACUUAUUUUUGACAUUUUAUUUUAUGUUGUUUAAUCCACGAAGCGGAUCUAUUCAUACUCAAGUCUUACAAGCCAAUAAGCUUAUUCAAGUUGACCUAAAAAGUCAUGUUUUUAAAUGGACUCUAAAAGUGUUGAUCCGCUACUCUAUAUUUAGAGUUUUUUUUGUUUUAAUAUAAUCUAAGAUUGAAAUCCUACACAGAACCUUCAUAGGGAAGGGCAUCUAGCUAAAUCGAGUAUCAAAUGAUAGAACUAGAGUCGGGAGUCACAUAGAUAGGCACAAUAGAAACUUUACCAAAUCACAAAUUAGAUAGAACUGACUUAACUACCUAGCAUUUUUAAAUAAACAAAUUAAAAUAACGAAAAUAUCUUAUAUUAAAUCUUACAACAAUCGGCUUGUCGCGGUGGGGAAGCCGUGCUCACUUCUUUGCAAAAAAAGAAAAGAAAAAGAAGGUUAAAUGUAUAGCGUUAGGAAUGAAUCAAGCCACACAAUUUUUACCUUUUUAAUGUUAAAGUUAAAAUCCGACAAACAAAUUAAAAUAUAAAAAUUUAAUGAGUAUUCACAAACCUUGUGAAACGUGUACUAUAUAUGUUUAAUAAAAUAAAUAAAAAGUGAGUGAGGAAAAGACUUUGGAAAGGUAGUAAACGAAAUGUUGACUUGCUUUAAAUGGAUGAUAUUGUUCCCUACGCCAAGUCUUCCCAAUAGACUUUGAAAACUUUUUAACAAUAUUAUUAAAUGGACUUAAAAGUGAUUUGGAAAAUUAGAACUUAACGGUAAGGAUAAAAAUAUUAAAAAAUUAUUUUUAAUAUAUUAUUUUUUAUUUUAACUUAUUUGUUUGGUUUUAAUUUGAUACAGCGUUUAGGAAAAUAAUUUUUUCUCAAUUUUUUUAGACUGUACUAAAAUAUUUUUUAAUAUAGUGAUCUUAAAUAUGUCACGUAAAAAAUAAAAUUAAAAAGAUCAUUUGUUUAAGAAAACUAGAAAAAGAGUAAGACGAAUAAAUUAAAAUGAAAAAAAUAAUAAUAAAAUAAUAAAAGUAAACAGAGUACCUCCUUUAAUUUUCCAUUACUAUUCACUCUUUUUCCCAAAAUGAGAAGUAUAAAAUAAUUUUCUUUUGGGGCCUAAGUAAAAUCCUCUCUGGUGGAAAAAAAAAAGCAGUGUAAAAAAAUUAAAGAAUACGUAGUAGAAUCCACACUUGAUCUACAAACUUUCCCUAACAGGAUAAUAUAUUUCAAAACAAAUAAUAUAUUUUUUUAAAUCAAGCAUUUUGACUAGAGUUGUCAAAAUGGGCUGGCCCAAUCCAACCCAACCCAACCCUAACGGGCUAGAGAGUUAAAUGGGUUGGGACAGGCUGGCCCUUUUAAUUAAAGGGCCUAUAAGAUAGCAGCCCAACCCAGCCCUAAGCGGGCCACGGGUUGGGACGGGUUGGCCCUUCAACCAAAAAACGGACAACAUUUUCGUCUUAGAAAGGAUAUGAACGUUGAUGUCCGAUGAACACAACAUCAAUACAUACAUAAAUUCAUUCAUGAAUUACACAUAUUUCAGUGAAUAUUUACAAAACAAAUACAUAAUAGCCAAGAUACAAUAUUCAUAAGAUUCAUCCGAGCAAAAAAACAUUACAUGAUCACUAUUUUCAUAAACAAGACAAUUAAGGAGAAGUGAAAAAUUAGGCAUAAAAACAAAAUGUGAAAAAGGUCAAAGAUUCAUAGUUAUGAUGGAGUAAUGGUGUAACACCCCGAAAAUGCUAACAAGAGUCGCGUGUCGAUAAACCACUGCUUAAUUACUAUAAUAUGUUUAUUCUCAUUUAGGGAACUAGAAAUAAUGUUAUAUUUGCAACCUUGCUUAAAAUAAUUGUCAUCGUAAUUUAAUGUUUGUAUGGGGGUAUUUGCGUAAUGUUUUAAUUAGAAAUGUGUAUAGCUUUAAAAGGAAGUGAAUGAUAUAUAUAUAUAUAUAGGUGUAUAUGUAUGCAAUUGGGCAGCACACAAUUAUUUGGGCAACCAACUUUUAGGGACAGCUGUGUGCAUGACAAGCACCUCUUGUGUUACUAUAUUUUGACACCUCCUCUUAGGAAAUUCGUCUCAGCUGAAGUAUAAGUCCCUUAGAACAUUAUCUAACCUGUUGUUCUUCAAGAUCACAAGAGAAAAUUUUGGUCCUUCUGGCUGGAAAUCGAGUUACACUCUUCUCUUUGGUAAGUAGUAAAACCUGUUUUUGAGCUAGGUAGCGUUUAGUAGAUUAAGCAUAUCUUGUUCUCUAGAACUUUGUUUACUGUGAAUAAAUAUUAUUUGGAAAGAUAAUUCGUAUAUGUACAACUCUUAUGUUUAUAUUAAACUCUAAUUUGGUUGUUAUGGAUUCGAAAUAUGGGACGCAUCAUAGGACAAGUUCUGUCUAGAUUCUGAAGUUUGAAAUCCUGUAUGGACAACUGUUAGUGUUUUGAAUAUAUCUUUUUAUCCAAAAUACAUUUUACAGUGAUUAUUGGUUGUUUGCAUCCUUAAGAGAGGUAGCUACAUCUUUCAUGAAGAGUAUACAGUCCGAUUUUGCCGUUUGCCAUUUCAAAUCUUAUUUGCGACAUGAUGUACUAGGAUGGCCAUAAUUUACUGUUUGGGAGCAUAGUCGUAUUUGUACAGGCUAGGCUUACUUGUGAUGAUAACCCUAUUUUAUGUCAUCAUUAUUGAGUUUCUAGAAAGUAAAUAAGUUAUUGAAUUCAUUUUUACAGUUGUAUAUCCUCGUGUACAAGUUGAAGACUUUGAUACACUGCUAGGUCUACGGUUUGACUCGUGGAGUUUUAUUGGAUUGUUUUUGUACUAAAGAAUUGAGGUUUGUGUAUAAACCUAUACUUGAAUUUUCUAUUAACUACUGGUAUAUCUUAAAGUUAUCUUGGUACCUUGGUUACAUCUUGUCACUUUGCAUUGUCGUAUUGGUAUUCUUUAAUACAUUAAAGACGCUUAUGUAACUCGCCCACUUGUACGGAUUGUUUGAUCACUUAGCACUCUUGUUGGGACCUUGUCCUUCUUGUGGCUGUGACUUCGUCACUCUUGGCAUGCCUCUUGGUUUGGAUCAUUUGCCAUCUUGACUCUGGAUUUUUGGUUCGUCUUAAGAAUGGAAGUUGUCCAUUUUAAGUACGAACUAGGAAGCCAUUUUUUAAUAUGGUUCUUGGUUCUCUUGAUUAUUGGGUUUUGACCCUUCUUGAUACCUGCUUGUGCUUAGUGUGACGACAUGAUGUAUAUAUUGGGUGAGCUUUGUUGUUGAAUCUCUUGAAAAGUUGUGCUAUGAGCAUUCUUGACAUUUGGACCUUUAAAUAUUGAACUUGACACUCCUUGUAUAUUGUUUACUUGAUUUAUUGAUUUUGUUUUGAUCGUGUUGCCCUUGACUUGAGAAUGAUAACUUAUCGAAUUUGAGGGCUCAAAACCUAUAGUUUUUACACCACUAAGCUAUAUGCUUAGCGAUAGUUGUUUCUAUCGUAAGGGCUGUUCGCGAUGAUGCUUGAAGCUGGCCAUUGAAGAUGGAGAUUUUGAAAGCCUUAAGGAAGAUCACAUUUGCAUAUAGGCAUAUAUAGUUUGUAUAAACCUUGGGACUUGUACAUGAUCUUUGUGUUGUAUAUUGACAGGAGAUUUAAGGGCUGAUUUGGUCAUGUCACCAUGGUAAUAUAAGUAUGGUUAUACAUUUUUAUCUUUUUGGGGUGUGUAAACCCAAGUCUUGUAAUAUACUAAUUUGCUAUAUUUCUUGAAAGUUGUGUGAAUUAAGAGCCGGCUGAUUUCGGUACUCGGAAGCUUGUAAUAUUCUUUUUAUUUCACCCUCGAAUGUGAGGUUAACAUAUGCAUGAAGAUCUGGUCGGUUAAUUGCUUAAAUAUUAUAUUUUUGUCUUUUUGGAGUUCGUUAUGAAUCUAAUUCCUCUACUAGUUUCGAAUCAGUAUGCUCUCAUUAAUUGGUUUUAAAUGUCGCAAGUACUUAAUUAGAUUUCUUGUUUAAGUAGUGAUAUCGUUUUGAAAGGAUCGCUACAAAUGGACUUGAGUUAAUAAGAAAAUUUAGUGGACUAAUGACCCUAAAGUGUAAAAGAUAUGUAAAAAAUAUAGUUUUGAUUUUAUAUUGAUACAUUAAAAAAAUUUAUUGACAAAAUCUUAACAAGUAAAACAUUACUUAAAAUAUAUAUAAUAAAUAUUUUUAAAAUUCACUGCCCGCGGGCUGGCCUCUGAGGCUUGCGGGUUGGCCCUACGAGGCCAGCGGGCCAAAUGAGGUUAGGCUAAAAAGCCUCGUUCCUAAAUGGGCUGAAAAAAUUGAGCCUAACCCUAUUUAAUUCAAGGGUUGGGUUGGGCCGGCCUAGCGGGCCAAGCCCAUUUUGACUAAUUACCGAUCAAAUCAAAAUUGAGUAUAUCAUGAAUCAAAGAGGGGGGGGGGGAUCUAUUAUCCAUUUCAUAGCAUCAUUCAAAAAAUUCGAAAGCACAUUGGUUCGCUGAUCGUUUAACGAAAGACAAAGAAAUAGAAGUAAAGCCACACAUGAGUGCUUUACAAUCAUGAAUAAUAACAUCAAAUUAAGAGUGGUUUUCGUAGGCCUUUUCUAGCGCUUGUUUAACCAAAAGAAUGUCCAUCUCAACAGUUAUCGGGGUUGCUGCAAAGUGUUCCUUUAGCUAGCUUAGUGCUUCUCGAACACCCAAAGCCUCGGCCAUAAGUGGAUCCUGUUGUCUUCCUAACCGACUAGAGCGGCCUCUAAUGAAGCUUUCAUGAGAAUUCCGAACUAGCAUGCCGAUUUCAACUAUUCCGAAAGCAAGAUCUCAGGAAGCAUCAAUGUUGCAUUCAAAGAUGUUCUUAACAGAAGGAAACCAUUUUGUUACGGAAUCAGUAUAAAAUAAAUAGUAUUUCACAAAAUCAAGAAAGCCUUAAUGACAUUCUUUUAUUUAUAAAUAAUGAAAGUUUUACCUGAUAAAAAACUAUUAAAAAUCUAUAUAUUUUUGAAGACACUAUCAAAAACACUAUUUAUUUUGAAACGAAGGGAGUAUUACUACGUUCAUUCAAUUUAUAUGAUGAAUUUCUUUAGUAAGAAAAAAAUGAAAAAUUUAAUUGUGUAGGCUUUCAAAUAUAUUUUAUACAUAAGAGAGAUUUCAAAAGAUUAUUUUCUUCAAGUUAACUUGUAGGUAUUCAUACGAGAUCAUUUCCACUAAAAUAGAAUGAAAAUUAUAUUGUAUAUAAAUGAAUAAAUUUUAUAGAAAUUUACUAACCAAAAAGUGAGUAAUGAACAAAAAAAGUUAACAAAAUAUGACCAAAUACUAAUAAAAAACAGAGUAAAAGGCCAAAGAAAUUGAAAAAAAUAAAUAGUAUUGUUGUUGUUCUUUUAGUCAUUUAAUUAGAAAAUAAGAGAAUAAUAGAGAAAAAUUGUAAAAAAUAAAAAAGUAUAAUUGAUAAAUUGAAGAGAGAUAAAAGAAAAUAAAAUAAAUGAUAAUAAUGAAUUUCGAAGUAAUAAAAUAUUGUAAUUGACAAAUUUAUUACAUUAGAUUUAUUUUAAAAAUUAAAUAAAAUUUGACGAAUGAUUUCCUCUAACACUUGAAGACCAUCUUUUGUUGCUUUUGAUAAGCAAAGGGUAAGAUUUUGUAAUAGCAUCUUCUCUUUUGAAGGAUACACAUAUUGUAUUUGGAGAAAUAACUAUUUAAACUUCUACUUUAUCAAAUUAAUUUGACUAUCUCUUUUGAUGAUAUGCGCCAACGUCAUUAAACUUUAUUCUUUAUAUCUUGAUGAAUUUGAAUCAAGUUAAUCUGACCUCUCUUUGAUAAAUUUUACACUGCUAUCAAAUAUAUUUUUUUGGGCUAUUAUAACAUAAAAAAAUAAAAUCGGAAGAAUAUAUCUAUGAUCUUUGUCAAAGUGAUCAUGAAUUGUCAGAUCAUUUUUUCUAUGUCAUCCCUAUUGAUGAAUCAAAUGAAGGGAAAAAAUUAAAAAGAAGGAGAUAUAUUGAUUCAGCCACUAAUAUUUUGUACUAGUAGUAGACAGAAAAAUCUUGCAGAUUAUGAUGCCAUGUGUUGGCUUUUAAGUAUUUUCCAACAAAAGAAGGACGAAAGUCAUAAUUAGCGGCUUCAAUGGUCUAUAUAACUGGUCCACUCUUUGAUUUUUGUUGUACAAUGCUUUUAAAUUUCAAAUUCUCCGCAGACACUAACUUCUGAACGAAAAUUUUUAUUAUAGGACACACGUGAAUUAAUUGGUGAUUUCUCCAUAAAUUGAUAUAAUCUUAUUUAUUGACACUUAUAUUAUAAAAAAGGCUAAAUUCGUUUAAUAUAUAUAUUGCAUAUCAAAAUAUUACUGCUUAUAUGAAUAAUAGAUAACCAAAUUGUUUAUUCUAGAACAUAUAAACUUACUGAAAUUUAAUUCAGAAUUAUCUCUUGAAGUGUGAGUAGAUACCUUCAAGCGAAUUCACAAGUUAGACAGACCUUCAAGCGAUUUCACAAGAUAGACAACAACUACGGUCUUCUACAAUGAUCCCAAAUUCACAUCCGAACUCUCUCAAUACUUGGGUGGGCAAGUAUCAAAUAGAAAACUGAUUCUCUUUCUAGGUUAGAAGACUCCCUAUUAUAGAGAUUUCUUUCCAGUCCAAAAAGGAGAAGAAAACUCAGUUUUCUUGAAAAAAAAACAAGAAACUAACGUUAGUCUUUCUUUCCCCCCUAGAAAAUAAGAUUCUGAGUUCUAGUAAAAUAUGGGCACGAUAGGGACCACAUAAUUAAUUACUGAGGCUUUCUAUUAUGGAAAUAAUUCCAAAUUAUUAAUUUGAAUUAUUCUUACCUUAAUAAAUUACAAAUCAUUCCACUAUAAAUUCGUAAUUGCACUCCUCUAUUUAUAUUUCGAAAUUUUCCAUUAAACACUUGUGUAAUUCCUCAUGUUAAGAUUAUAGAUACUAAUCAAUAAAUUAAAUUACUGACGAAUUGAGCACUACUUUACUUAUUUCAUGUGUCGGAUUCAUAAAUCCACUUGGAAGGUUUGACACGAUAAAACUUAUAAGUUUCUCAAAAAGGCAUGUAUCAAUCAAUCUCUAUAACGAGACAUGAAUUCCAUCAACUAACUAAUAAUUUCACCAAUAUAUAUUAUUAUCAUCCAAUCUACCAGACAUAUUGACCCAUCUAAGAAUCUCGCAUUUUCAUAAAUCAAAACGAUAAUUAAUACAUAUACAAAUCAUAAUAGUUAUAUCAAGAUUGAGAAUAUAAGUACAUUUAAUAGUUUAGAGAAUAUGCUUUUGUCAGUCAGUCUAAAACAACUAUCUCUACUCGGUCUCGUUCAAUAUAUACAAAAUGCACUAGCACAAGAAGUUGGAACUAUACCAUUCCCAUAAUCAAGAUAAAUUAUAUAGGGAAAAGGGACAAAUAUACCCCCAAACUAUCGUAAAUGGUAUCAUUCCUAUAAUCAAGAUAAAUUAUUGUCACGACUCAGACCGUCGUGAUUGACACCCAUACUAACCCUCCGGUGGGAGAACCAUUACUACAACUCAAACAAGCAUCUACACAAAAAACUAAGGCAUUUAAACUACGAAAACAUAUUAAACAACUAAUUAAUGAAGUUCUCAUAAACUUCAACAAGAAAUCUAAAGAACUAUACUAAACAAAUGCGGAAGAAACAACCUAGAACCUGAAACUCAAUGUACCAAAACAUCUAAACAAAUGAUCCAAGUCUAAACAAGAAGGGAUACAUCCCCAAACUAAUGUACUAAUCAACUAACUAGAAUAAAUAUCUAUGUCUGGAAAUGAUGGACAUAGACGAAAGAGAAUCUCAUGGCAGCCCGGAAGAAUUGGCUCACCCUUGAAUUUGAAGCGACAAUCACUGAUCUUCUAAGCGAGGUCUGUCAACAGUGGCGGAUCCAGGAUUUAGAGUCCGUGGGUGCCAAAUGGGAUUCGAACCCGUAGCCUCAACCUUCUAAUGUUGCCCUCCUACCGUGGCACCACAAGCCAAUUUUGUUCUGUGGGUGGCACGCCUUAUAUUUAUAUAAAUAUUAUAUAUAUAUAGCUAUGUAUAUAUAGAGUUUCCGUCGAAGUUCGGGGGUGGCGUGGCACCUCCAAUGCCCUUCAUAGAUCCGCCACUGUCUGUCAAUAGUCGCGUGAAGAUACCCUGUACUUAACAAAAAUAAGAGCAAGUGCAGAAUCAGUACAUAACCACAGUGCAUUGGUAGGAUCACGCGGCUAUUCCACUAGUGCAACAUAAACAAGUCAAACAACAUUAUAAUCACAUGCAUAUAUAUCAACAUAUACAACAUCAUCAGCAUGAAGAAUCAACAACGCAUUUCACGUUUAUCAUCACAUCAUUGGUCCUCUCAUGGAACCCAAACCCAAACAGUUAGCAUGCCGGAACGUGGCAAUCCAAUCCAAGUUAGUUAAGCCGGAACGUGGCAAUCCGAUCUCAUUCACACAUCACAAUCACAAACACAAGUACAUCAUCAAGAUCAUACAUUUAAGUCAUGAUUUCAUGGCAAUGAUAUAUCUUAUAUCUCAUUACAACAAGUGUGAUCAACAUUGCAACAUUCAUAUAUAUACAAGUAUCAUAAUGAAGUAAGAACAAACAUACAUCACACAAACAUAGAAUCACAAUUAUCACCUACCUCGAAACAAGCUUGAAACCCUAAGAAACUUGAUUUUCCUUUUCGGAUUCGUUCUGAUUGUUCUUGGUCUACAAACAAUCAAUAUAAUGCGGGAAUCAAUAAACAAUUAUUAAUUACCCGAAUUACCAACAAAUCUAACAAACCCUAGAUCAACCCAUGAUCCCAAUUAUCCAAUUAAGGGUUGUUUCCACCAUAUAUUCAAGAUCAACCCCCCCCCAUCUAUAUUUACCCAUUCGAUUACGUUCUACGGAUCGAAAAAUGGAUUCGGGGAGUGAAAAACUUACAUUUAGCCUCAUGAAUGGUGAAAACGAGUAGAAAUCACAUGGGGUUCGUUCCUUAGCUCUAAAAGUCGAAAAGUGCAUAAUGAGGUCGUUUAGGGGUUUAUUAACGAGUUUAAGUCGCGUCGGUCCUGCUGAAGCGGCCCUCAUCUCGCUAUAGCAUCCCCGCUAAGGCGACCAGAAACCCCACCCCGACGGCUUCCACUUAGCAGUGAGCCCUUCGUCUUUCACCUACGAGUUUGAGACUCGUCGUACCUACCACACCGGCCAUCAUUCCGCUGUAGCGGCCCGCCAGAGUGACCAAACUCCCGCCAAGGCGGCACAAACAGAACUAGAGAGUCAAUUGAAGAAAUUCCAAAAUCCCAUUUCACAACACACCUUUAACCCAUGACAAUCAGAAAAUACCCUUUACGCUAAGAUCGAUUUCGGGAGAUCUACUCACCCAAAUUCAAUUCCAUAAAGUCGUAUGGAUUCUUUAACAAGUUAUCUAACCACUCAUGCAAUCAAAACCAUAAUUACUCCAUCCGAUUGUUAUCGGAUUUUCCUACACCUUGGUGACUCCGAUUUCCUCCAAAUCUGGACAAAGUUGGGAAAAUCCAAAUACUACAAAAAAGUUUUUUUCGGCCCCAAAUUUUCCCCUGUUGGCAUUUCUAUAACGACGGAAUCCAGUCGUUACAAUUAUAUAUAAUCUUGUGCUACAAUCGUACCGAUAACAUGUCCAAUUUCCAUCCUAGAUUGUGAACAAAAAACUUUAUACUUAUAAGAGCCGAUGAUUUAAUCCUUUGUGUAUAAGCUAAAACUCUAUACACUAAAUUAUCUACUAUAUAAGUAUACAUACACCAUAAACAAAUAUAUGAUCUAUUAAAACUGAAUAAAUAUUUAUUUUAUAAUAAAUAUUAUAUCUAAAUAUAUGGUCAAUAGUAUAUAUCCCAAAUAUAUAUAUAUAUAUAUAUAUCUACAAAUUCUGAGUUCAUUUGCUUGUGAGACUAAAAAGUAAGAGUUAACUUUUUUUUUUUAUUAGAGAAUCCUAUUUAGUAAAAUUUUUUUUUUUUUUUUUUUAAAUUUUAGAGAAUUUUUUUUUCAUUAUUCAUAACAUAUAAGUCUAGAUUUCAGACUUGAUAGUACUUUUAGCAAUUGUCACUGUCUAUUAUUUCACUACAUGCAUGGUCCAAUUACAGUAAUAUCCUUUUUGCUGUCCCUGUUGGAGACACAUUUCGGUAGAAUUAGAAAAACAGGUUUUAUAUUAAAUUUAAUUAUUAAGAAAUUAGAUGAAAAAUAUUAUAAUUUAUCUAUUAAUUUGAUGAACAAAAUAUUUUAAAAUAUUAGUUAAAGUCUAUGUAAUUUGACUCUAAAAAAGGAAACAUGACAAGUAAAAAUGAACAAAAAAUAUAUUAAACAUCAUAAAUUUAAGAAAGACCAUAACCAUAUAAUUACAACAAGAACAACAUACCGUAUAAGAAUCACAAGUGAGGUCUGCAGAAGAUAGAAUGUAUGCAAAUCUUUCUACUAUCCCGUGAAGGUAAAAAUUCUAUUUUCAAAAGACAAUCGGCUCAAGUACAAUCAAUCUAGAUACAAAAAAAAAGGAGAUGAUGAAGGAAAUAUAAAAUACUCCCUUCGUCCCAUUUUAUGUGAGGUAGUUUGACUCGGCACGGAGUUUAAGAAAUAAAGGAAGACUUUUAAAACUUGUGGUCCAAAAUGAAUGAUAAAAAUUUGUGUGGAUGUAAAUCAUUUCAUUAAGGGUAAAAUAAAUAUUUUAUAGUUAUAUUGUUAUUUAAUACAGAAAUGUGUCAUUUUUUUUGGGACUGACUAAAAAUGAAAGUAAAUCACAUAAAUUGGGACAGAGGAAGUAGCAAGUAACAAGGUACAACCAAUCAGGAAGGAUAUCCAAAAAAAUAAUAAUAAGAUAAUGUGAUGAUCAAAGCACAAGAGACAACACACUAGGAUAGAUUAAUGAAAAUAAUAACAAAGAAUGUUGAGAAUAAAAAACAAGAAUUACAAUAAUUCAACUAAUACCAUGGCAAAUAAUAGUCACCCUAAUCAAGACAACACUACACCAGUGGCGGAUCCAGGAUUUAGAGUCCGGGGGUGCCAAAUAAACUUAUCGAUUAAAUUAAUUUUAUAUUUGAUUAAAUUAUUCGCCUUUUUUUCACUUAAAAAACGUCUUCAGCAAUUUUUCAAAAAAAUAGGUUCAAAUGGGAUUCGAACCCGCAACCUCAACAUUCUAAAGUUGCCCUCCUACCAUGGCACCACAAGCCUAUUUUGUUCUGGGGUGGCACACUUUAUAUUUAUAUAAAUAUUAUGUAUAUAUACCUAUGUAUAUAUAGAGUUUCCAUCGAAGUUCGGGGGUGGCGUGGCACCCCCACUGCCCUUCAUAGGUCCGCCCCUGCACUACACUACCUACUAAUCUUCUACUGGCCCUAAUAUGUGUCCUCCACACCUUUUAAUGUCCACGGUAACCUAAAGCCGCACCCUAUCCUGUCUUAUCACAUGUCCCCAAUACUUCUUCCGUCUACCUCUGCCUCUCCUCGUACCCUCUAUAACCAACCCCUUGCGCCUCUGCGCGGGUGAGUCUACACAUCUCCUCUUCACAUGUUCAAAUCAUCUUAGUCCCGUUUUCCUCAUCUUGUACACCACAUAGGUCACUCUCACUUAAUAUUCUAGAUAUCGUCAUUUGUAAUCUUAUCAAUCUAGUAUGACCAUACAUCCACGUCAACAUUUCAACUCCACAACAUGCAUCUUCUGAAGAUGAAAACUUUUAGUUAUUUAUAUUAGGAAAAAAAGACAAAUGUAUUCUCGAACUAUCGUAAAUGAUAUGCACAUACUCUUCGUUAUACUUUUGGGAUAUUAAUAUCCCUGUCGUCUAAAAACUAGAGCAUAUAUAGUAAAAAUAAUUUUUACUCGUGAUUUACAUAGAAAAUGUACGUUUGGAGUGUUGUAGUGACUGUACAAUUGUGUAAUUGAUUCUUUUUUGUCAUUUUCCUUGUUUUUUCGUUGCUUUGGUUUGGUAUUAGCAUUCCGUGUAAUUUCAGUUGCACCACAAGUUUUUAUGAUUCGUCCAUUUGAUACGAAAUCAUCAGGUACGUAGAAAGGUGCUGCUCAUUCUAGCCAAAGAAAACGAAAGAAAUAAUAAUUACUUGCUCUAUUCAUUUUUAUUUGUCAUUUUUAGGACAUUGAAAAAAUAUUAGCGAUUUAAUUAUUUAUUUAUCAAAUUAUUUGUUAAAAUUUAAAAUUAUAUAUUAAUUAAUAUAAAUAUUAUAAUAAAAUAUUUUUAUCAACAAUUAUUUUUUAACAAACGUACCAAAAUUUUAAUUAAAGAAGUAAAAAUAAAAGGGAGAGUAUUUAUUUAUAAAUAUCUCAGGAUAAUGUCCACACUAAAGACACUAAUUCUUUUGUGUUUUUUUUCCCUUUCCCUUGGUGUGGUAUCGUUUUCCGUGUAAUUUCACUUGCACCACAAGUUUUAUAUGAUUGGUCCCAUACUCCCAUUUGGUAAGAAAUCAUGUUACUCUCUUUUCGUCGUAAAAUAGGUUACAUUUUAUUUUUAAAAAUACAUGAUGUUUUAGAAUUUCAAAAGGAAAUUGAUUUUACUCAUUUAAAAUAAUCCAUCUUUACGUAUUUAAAAGUCAUUAAUUAGUUUUUCUUUGAUUAGGAGUGUUCGGAAAAAAAUAUUUUCGUAAGUAUCAUGUGCCGUUUGACCAUAAAUAUUCUCAAAUAUAUUUGAGAAUUUUUUUGGAAAAUAGUAUUUGAUCAUAUAACUCAAGUUCUCAAAUACUAGAAAAAAUAGUUUUUAAAAAUAUAAAAAUUACCCUAAAAUUUUAUUUUUUUACAAAAGCACCCAUCAUUUAUAGUUUUGGACUAAAUUUCGGUCCUAAUUUGUUUGUAUAAAAUUAAUACAAUUAUAUGUAUAUUUAUACAAUUUUUAUUCGAGCGUAUUCUCUAAAGCCACUUUCAGUUACAAGUAGUAAUAAUAGUUUUUUGUAUACAAAUCAUUGGCAUUUUCCUUUAAUUUUCUUCUCCUUUUUUCAUAUUUAUAUUAAUUGUGUUCGCUGUCAUAUCUUUUUAUGAAACAUAUUUAUUAUAAAAAGUCAAAAUAUAUGACCAAACGCGUUAUAAAACUUUAUCCAAAUAUAAUUUAACAAAAAUAUUUGAAAAUUUAUAAUCAAACACCAGCUAAAAAGAACGCUAAUUUUGGAAUAGAGAGACGUAAAAAAGAUGAUGUGCAUUGAAGGUAGCAUUAAAAAAAAUGAAAAGAAAUGUUCGACGAAGGAUAAUGGAAUUUUCUUUAAGAAAAAAAUAAACGCCUUUUUUAAGAAGGCCCCAUUUUUCAACGUGUUUCCUGUUCUUCUCCCUUUCUAUAAAUAGGACUCAAUCAUAAAAUUGAAGAACUUAGCUAUAGUUUCUUCACUUAGUAAAUUGGAAAAAAAAAAAAAACUCUUUUUUUUGGAGUGAAUUAAUUUAGAGAUGGUGAGAACACCUUGCCGCGACGAAAAUGGUCGUAAAAAGGGUACUUGGACACCUGAAGAAGACAGAAAAUUAGCUGAUUAUAUUACUAAAUAUGGAUCAUGGAACUGGCGACAACUUCCCAAGUAUGCCGGUAAGAAUUUAGUAAUGUUUGAGUUGGUUUGGUGGAAAAUUAUAUCAUAAAUGAAAACUUUUAUUUCAAGUAGUAUUAACAACUAAUAAAUUUAUUGUUAUUUAUGAUGAAGGUCUAGAAAGGUGUGGAAAGAGUUGUAGACUUCGAUGGAUGAAUUACUUAAGGCCAAAUGUUAAAAGAGGAAAUUAUACCAAAGAAGAAGAUGAAAUCAUAUUGAACCUCCAUGCUCAACUUGGAAAUAAGUAUGUUUUCUUCUUCCAUAUCUCCAAUUGUACGAGUCAAUGCCAGUAGAGCUGACGCGAAUUCAUGAUUUAAAUUUAAUGAGUUUAGCUUUUAAAUUUUUCAACAUUGAAUUCAUUGUGUUAGAUCUAAUAAUUGUUAAGGCCUCCUCAUUAAUUUUUUAGUAAAACACAUUAACAGAAAUUCAGUUACUUCAAUAUGAUAAAAAGAAAUUUUAAUUGUCAUUUUAAUUACCAAAUAUAUAUAGUUUCAUUACUAAUUCUGUGAAACUGUAAACUUGUAUGGUUAUAGGUGGUCGGCGAUUUCUGUUCACUUGCCAGGAAGAUCAGACAAUGAGAUAAAGAAUCAUUGGCACACGGCAUUGAAGAAGCGUGCUAAUUAUGCUUCAAACUCAAGUAACGACGUCUCAAGCAACAAUAAUAAUAGAAGAAAGAGUAAUGAGGAAAAUCAAAAUGCAAGUGCUAAUAAUAAUAAUAAUAUGCAUGAAAAUAUAGCAUUGGAAAGUUCAGAAUGGUCACCAAAGGAGUCAUCAAGUGAAGAAUUAUCCUGUAUUGAUUAUCAACAAGACAUUUUUCAAGAAGAAUUAGCUAUUUUGGAGGAAAUUACGAGUGGAAGUUUUUGGACAGAACCAUUUGAAAUGGAUAGUAAAAUUGAUUUUGUAGCUCCUUCAAUUGAUUAUUGUGGACUUGUCUGUCCACCUUCUCCUUUUAUACCUCAUGAAUUUCUUUCCUCCUUUGAUCUAGAUCAUUAUGAUUAUAAUUGGUAAACAAAAAAUAGAAGGGAAAAAAACU
rnacentral:lncRNA from 1 species